CAAAUUAGAGCUUGAUAAAGUAUUUCAUUUACAUUGAAAAGAUAUUAUUUUUAUAAUUAAUUUGA
rnacentral:tRNA from 1 species